AAAAAAAUAUAAUCGAAAAUAAAAAGGCCGCUCAGCCAUAAAUAAUAAAAUAUUUGAAUAAAUUUAUGGCAAAUUUAAAAACCGAAAAUAGUGCUGGAUAAUUACUAUAUAGUGUUAAAAAAGUACAAGAAAAAAAAAAAAACAAAAACAACUAAUGUCAUUUAGCUAGCCAAUAACGCAUAGACAACAUACACACAUGCAUACAUAUUAUUAAUAUUUGCAAAUUUAAUACUAUGAUAAAAUCUAAUAAAGACAAAAGAAACGGAAGAUUAAUGUUGCCAUAAAUCAGCAGUAGAAAAUGUUGCUGCCCCACAUGCAGCAGGUAUUCAGUGAUGCAACACCACGAGGCAUUUAAAGUCGAUGAAAAAAAGAAAAACGGGAUAAACACCAGUUUAUAGA